UGGGGAAUCUUGGACAAUGGGCGCAAGCCUGAUGCAGCAACGCCGCGUGCGGGAAGAAGGCCCUCGGGUUGUAAACCGCUUUCAGGAGGAACGAAACUGACGGUACUUUCAGAAGAAGGUGCGGCCAACUACGUGCCAGCAGCCGCGGUGACACGUAGGCACCAAGCGUUGUCCGGAUUUAUUGGGCGUAAAGAGCUCGUAGGCGGUUCAGUAAGUCGGGUGUGAAAACUUUGGGCUUAACCCAAAGCGUGCAUCCGAUACUGCUGUGACUUGAGUACGGUAGGGGAGCGGGGAAUUCCUAGUGUAGCGGUGAAAUGCGCAGAUAUUAGGAGGAACACCGGUGGCGAAGGCGCCGCUCUGGGCCGAAACUGACGCUGAGGAGCGAAAGCAUGGGUAGCAAACAGGAUUAGAUACCCCCGUAGUCCCUGAGCGGGCUGGCAAGGCGCAU
rnacentral:rRNA from 1 species